rnacentral:rRNA from 1 species
CACGGGGGGAGCAAGCGUUGUUCGGAAUUACUGGGCGUAAAGGGCGUGUAGGCGGUCAAGUAAGUGGAAUGUGAAACGCCUCGGCUUACCCGAGGACCUGCAUCCCAAACUGCUUGGCUUGAGUAUGGGAGAGGAUGAGGGAAUUCCUGGUGUAGCGGUGAAAUGCGUAGAUAUCGGAAGGAACACCAAUGGCGAAGGCAGCUUCCUGGCCCAAUACUGACGCUCAGGUGCGAAAGCGUGGGGAUCAAACAGG